GGUUCGAAUUACACAGCUGUGAUAUGGGCAAACAAAGGAAGCCAACAUCACACAUGACCACCUAUUCACACACAUCUUCAUAGUUGUGAGGAUGUGUUAGAUUUACUACAAACACUUCACUGAAGAAAUACAAAACAGAUAUACCUGAGAAUCGAAUUAUAAUACUCCAUGUGCAAACAAAGGAAGCCAACCACCCACAAUGGCACCACGCAUAUCCUCAUAGUUGUGAGGAGGCCUUAGAUUUACUGUAAACACUUCAGUGAAAAAAUACAAAACAGAUACACCUGAGAAUCGAAAUAUACGACGACACGUGCAAACAAAGAGUUGCCGUCGUUUAUACCACGAACGGUAUAUUCAUACCAGCAGUAAACCGAUCACUAUCGGUUAGCCUCUGCUUCACUCUAAGGACAGGAAGUAAAUCAAGGCUGCAGAAGAUGCUAAUGCGCAUCGAACGAACGGGUGAGGUCGCUGAUCGAUCACGACGACAUCACGACACAAGCUACAAAGAAUCCAUCACCUGAAGAAACAGAAAGAGGUGAUUUUUUAAUUCUUUUAUUAGUUGUUCCCGUCAAGCAUAGUGGUUUUACAAGUGUUUAUUUUCUGGAGUGGUCAAUAAGUGAAACAGGUAUUUUAUUAGUUGUUCCCGUCAAGCAUAGCGGUAAGUGUUUUGAUAAUUAUUUUACUUUAAAUGAAAGUGGUCUAAAAUAUAUUGAGAAUAUAAUAUUUGGGAUGUGUUAGUUUCACUUAAAUAUAUAAUUGUACAUAAUAGGCUUGUUAUACACAGUGACAUAUUAGUUUGACUUGGGGCCAUAAUCUAGACUUUGUUUGAUUGUUAGAUAUGGGAGUUAUAAUAAGACUUGAUGAUUUCGGAAGUGUAGUGGUUUGGCGUAAACCUUGUUACCUAUGGUUGCGGGUUCGAUUCCUCGCACGGCGCAUGUAUUGGUGUUCGUGUGUAUGUAUGUUUGUACGGUCUGGGUAUUUCUAUGUAUGUUAUGUAUGUGGGUACAAAGAAAAAAGAUUCUAGGUAUUUAUGUCAA